rnacentral:rRNA from 1 species
UACGGAGGAUGCAAGCGUUAUCCGGAUUUAUUGGGUUUAAAGGGUGCGCAGGUUUGUUUGAUAAGUCAGUGGUGAAAGUCUGUCGCUUAACGGUAGGAUUGCCAUUGAUACUGUUGGACUUGAAUAUGGAUGAGGUAGGCGGAAUGUGUAGUGUAGCGGUGAAAUGCUUAGAUAUUACACAGAACACCGAUUGCGAAGGCAGCUUACUGGGCCAUUACUGACGCUGAUGCACGAAAGCGUGGGGAUCGAACAGGA